UGCCUAACACAUGCAAGUCGAAACGGAGAUUAUUUCGGUAAUCUUAGUGGCGAACGGGUGAGUAACGCGUAGGCAACCUGCCCUUUAGUUGGGGACAACAUCCCGAAAGGGUGCUAAUACCGAAUGUGAUCGCUUUUCCGCAUGGAAGAGCGAUGAAAGAUGGCCUCUAUUUAUAAGCUAUCGCUAAAGGAUGGGCCUGCGUCUGAUUAGCUAGUUGGUGGGGUAACGGCCUACCAAGGCGAUGAUCAGUAGCCGGUCUGAGAGGAUGAACGGCCACAUUGGGACUGAGACACGGCCCAGACUCCUACGGGAGGCAGCAGUGGGGAAUCUUCCGCAAUGGGCGAAAGCCUGACGGAGCAAUGCCGCGUGAGUGAUGAAGGAAUUCGUUCCGUAAAGCUCUUUUGUUUAUGACGAAUAUGCAGACUGUGAAUAAUGGUUUGUAAUGACGGUAGUAAACGAAUAAGCCACGGCUAACUACGUG
rnacentral:rRNA from 1 species